GGAAUAUUGCACAAUGGGCGAAAGCCUGAUGCAGCGACGCCGCGUGAGCGAAGAAGUAUUUCGGUAUGUAAAGCUCUAUCAGCAGGGAAGAUAAUGACGGUACCUGACUAAGAAGCACCGGCUAA
rnacentral:rRNA from 1 species